GGAACCUCUCGGGGUUACAGCCUUGCUGAAUUAUUCACCCUUGUCUUUUGCGUACUUCUUGUUUCCUUGGUGGGUUCGCCCACCACUAGGACAAACAUAAACCUUUUGUAAUUGCAAUCAGCGUCAGUAACAAAUUAAUAAUUACAACUUUCAACAACGGAUCUCUUGGUUCUGGCAUCGAUGAAGAACGCAGCGAAAUGCGAUAAGUAGUGUGAAUUGCAGAAUUCAGUGAAUCAUCGAAUCUUUGAACGCACAUUGCGCCCUUUGGUAUUCCAAAGGGCAUGCCUGUUCGAGCGUCAUUUGUACCCUCAAGCUUUGCUUGGUGUUGGGCGUCUUGUCUCUAGCUUUGCUGGAGACUCGCCUUAAAGUAAUUGGCAGCCGGCCUACUGGUUUCGGAGCGCAGCACAAGUCGCACUCUCUAUCAGCAAAGGUCUAGCAUCCAUUAAGCCUUUUUUUCAACUUUUGACCUCGGAUCAGGUAGGGAUACCCGCUGAACUUAAGCAUAUCAAUAGGCGGGAGGAA
rnacentral:rRNA from 1 species